rnacentral:snRNA from 1 species
GGAUGUGACAGUGACUUCACUGUGACAUCUGUCAACCCAUGAAUCAGCAGCGUCAGUCACUUCAGCUGAUUUGGUUGGCUAGGUGUGUAUCCACUUCCUCCCUCUCUGCUCACUGCUGAAGCUGCUUGCUCUAGAAUAAAGGAGGAGCAGUCUUUGCUCAAGAGUAUAUGAGUAACUUGGUCCCUUGCUAGAACCUCCAAAGAAUCAUUCAAGGUCCAUUUUUUAUUUUUAUUUAUGUGUGUCUGUGUAAAUAGGACACACAUUUUCAAUUGCCUACAAAGAUCAGUAGUUACAGUCACAGGCGGUUGUAAACUGC